GUGGGGAAUAUUCCGCAAUGGACGAAAGUCUGACGGAGCAACGCCGCGUGAGUGAUGAAGGUUUUCGGACUGUAAAGCUCUGUUGUUUAGGACGAAAGUGCCUGUUGCAAAUAGUUACAGGUAUUGACGGUACUGAACGAGGAAGCCACGGCUAACUACGUGCCAGCAGCCGCGGUAAUACGUAGGUGGCAAGCGUUGUCCGGAAUUAUUGGGCGUAAAGAGCAUGUAGGCGGGAAUCUAAGUCUGUUGUGAAAAUGCGGGGCUCAACCCCGUAUUGCGAUGGAAACUGGGUUUCUUGAGUGCAGGAGAGGAAAGGGGAAUUCCCAGUGUAGCGGUGAAAUGCGUAGAUAUUGGGAGGAACACCAGUGGCGAAGGCGGCUUCCUGGCACAAUACUGACGCUCAUGUGCGAAAGCUAGGGCAGCGAACGGGAUUAGAAACCCCGGUAGUCC
rnacentral:rRNA from 1 species